ACAAAGGACAAAGUACUGAACCUUUCUAUUUGCUAAUACAUUUAACACGUUAGCGGGCCGGUUUUUUUAGGCAGAAUAAAAGGAAGCCACCAAUCAAACAUUUUUUAAGCUUUAUUUGGGCUUUAUUUAAACUCAGAUGGUAGAUUUUAAAAUGGAGUUCUAUAUCAGAAACUCACUUGCAGUAUUUGUGAGCAUUAAUGCACCAAGUGGAUCUGUGUAAGAGAAUGUCUGAGCUUCAACCCAAGAUCUCAAUGUAAAAAAGUUUCAAAACCCUUUUUCUCAGUUGCAGACUGGGGUCUUUCAUCCUUCUGCUGGAGUAAUUCCCUGAAGCCUUAAUGCCAUGCAUUCAGUGGUGUUGUCCUGGUGCUGCACUGUCAUCUGCAGUGCCCCUGCACAUAGUUAAUUACUCUGCAUUACUCAUCAUCCUUUUUCCCAGAGUGACUAAACCAGAAGCAUAAUUCUUUUUUAACACAUGGGACAGGACAGAUUUUGUUUUCCUUUGUGUAGGACCAUCAGCAGCAUCACUUAUUCUGAAACACUGACAAUUCCCUCUGAAUUUCUGUCUUUUUUACUUUCGACCUUAGGGCAAGAUGUCCAUGGAGCCUUGGAAAAUCCCAUGGUGGAUACAAGCCUGUUGGAAGAAUUCAUUAGUAGUGACAUAGAGUUUGGAACUUUGUAAGUAUUAUAGCAACAUUUACUUCCUCUCCUUAGCCACAGGUCUUGAAUUAUUUUAUUAGUGCCAUGAUAAAAUCUGAGUUUCAAGAGGAUUUUGGCUCUCUUGACAUUGUUUCUGAAGCUGCAUAGGAGAACUUAGAAAAAAUAAACUACAGCCAGUAAUGGAAAUAUGGUUGCCUUCUUGUUCAACAGAACAAAUGAUAAUAAAAUUUGAGUUGAUUCAUGACUGUUGAACUAAUUGUGACAUCAAAUGCAGAACUGUUACUUUAACUUUCCUCUAAGUGCUAAUUUACUAUUUAUGUACAGAAUAAGUGAUAAAGGUGAGACUACUGUAUAAUAAAUUGAGAGAUUAACAGAAGUUUCCCAGUUUGAAGGAAGCAGAGCUACUGUUUUCCCCCUAAUACUUAGUUAGAACAGAAACUCCAUCAUGUCUUUUGAGACUAACUUUAAAGCAAUCAAAGGAUACAAGGUGCAAAGGCUUAUGGUCAGGGGUGAAAAAUUAUGAAAAAUUAUGUAGUAUAGAUCUAUCACCUCAAAUCUUUCAUCUAGACAACUGUCAGAUGAUUGUUGUUCAAGGCAAAGUACUAUUAAUAGACUGACACUUGCACUUGCCAAGAAGCAAAGCAAGAAGGGAUUUUUUAAAAAUAAUUAAGCAUGGAAUUUUACAUUUUAGACAGACUCAGCAGCACAUUUACUUAAAGUGGGCCAAAUAGGCCCCUGGCUGCGCUAAGUCUAAUGAAUUGAUUCUCUUUGCCCACACUAUAAAUGUAAAGAAGAAUGAAGAGAAGGUUGUAUAUAAAUAUC
rnacentral:lncRNA from 1 species